CUUUAGAUUACUACGCAGUAGCUAGAAUAAAAAACAACUUUUGGAGAUGAAGUUACGUUUCUGCCUUAUUAGGAAGCCACCUAUAAAAAGCACAUACCAAGACAUGACUUUAUUAAGGUAGCAUUUAAUGAAGACAAAAACAUGUAUUUGGCAAAUAUUAGAUGUGGCCAAAGCAACAAAUUGUUUAGGUUUAAGUUAA